GUGCUCCCUUUGGCACCACAUAUACUAAAACUGAAGCAACACAGAGAAGAUUAGCAUGGCCACCAUGCAUAGACACUAUGCAAAUUUGCUAUGCAUGCCUUUUUA